GACGAACGCUGGCGGCGUGCUUAACACAUGCAAGUCGAGCGGUAAGGCUCCUUCGGGGGUACACGAGCGGCGAACGGGUGAGUAACACGUGAGUAACCUGCCCCAUUCAUCGGAAUAACCAGUGGAAACGCUGGCUAAUGCCGAAUACGACCACCGAAGGCAUCUUCUGGUGGUGGAAAGCUCCGGCGGAGUGGGAUGGACUCGCGGCCUAUCAGCUUGUUGGUGAGGUAACGGCUCACCAAGGCGACGACGGGUAGCCGGCCUGAGAGGGUGACCGGCCACACUGGGACUGAGACACGGCCCAGACUCCUACGGGAGGCAGCAGUGGGGAAUAUUGGACAAUGGGCGAAAGCCUGAUCCAGCAACGCCGCGUGAGGGAUGACGGCCUUCGGGUUGUAAACCUCUUUCAGCAGGGACGAAGCGAAAGUGACGGUACCUGCAGAAGAAGGACCGGCCAACUACGUG
rnacentral:rRNA from 1 species